AUUCAAUUAAUUCUAUUUUUAGUUACGAAGAAAUAGGACUCUUUAUAAUUUAUUCUACAAAAAUAUUCCUUUUGUUUUUCUAGGUCAAAAUACUGCCUGAUUCCUUUACCAAGUGGAUCAAUCUUUUUGGCACUAUGUCUGUUAAAUCAACAAAGAUUUUUGCGACUCUACUAUGUUCACAUGCUGGUGAUACUGCCCUGGACAGACAUGCAUGGCUCUUGCUUUCCUGGAGCAGACAUUACAGUGGGUAAGAGAGAGAAAAUAAAUAACAAGCAUUCAAGAAAAUGUCAAUAUGUUUUCAGGCAAUAGAGAUAAAAGAGAG
rnacentral:lncRNA from 1 species